GUUUGUGUUGAUGUAUGCACUCUACGUGGUAUUGGAGGGGCAUUUUGAUUUCAAUUAAUAUGACAUGCCAACAAUUAGAAGGUGCUGGUGUAUGCUUCUGCUGAGUAAUUAUCCAUUGAAG